GUAAGUGGCAUUGAAUGAUUUACA
rnacentral:siRNA from 1 species